rnacentral:rRNA from 1 species
UACGAAGGGGGCAAGCGUUGUUCGGAUUUACUGGGCGUAAAGGGCGCGUAGGCGGCGUGGUAAGUCACUUGUGAAAUCUCCGGGCUUAACUCGGAACGGUCAAGUGAUACUGCUGCGCUAGAGUGCGGAAGGGGCAACUGGAAUUCUCGGUGUAGCGGUGAAAUGCGUAGAUAUCGAGAGGAACACCUGCGGCGAAGGCGGGUUGCUGGGCCGACACUGACGCUGAGGCGCGAAAGCUAGGGGAGCGAACGGG